UACGAGUGCCUCAAGCGUUAUCCGGAAUUAUUGGGCGUAAAGGGUGUGUAGGCGGUCUUGUUAGUCUUCUGUGAAAUCUCCCGGCUUAACCGGGAACACGCAGGGGAAACGGCAAGACUAGAGGAUGUGAGAGGUGAACGGAACUCUAAGUGUAGGGGUAAAAUCCGUUGAUAUUUAGGGGAACACCAAAUGCGAAGGCAGUUCACUGGCACAUUCCUGACGCUGAAACACGAAAGCGUGGGUAGCGAAUGGG
rnacentral:rRNA from 1 species